rnacentral:rRNA from 1 species
AUUGAACGCUGGCGGCAUGCUUUACACAUGCAAGUCGAACGGCAGCGCGGGCUUCGGCCUGGCGGCGAGUGGCGAACGGGUGAGUAAUACAUCGGAACGUUCCCAGUAGUGGGGGAUAGCACGGCGAAAGCCGGAUUAAUACCGCAUACGACCUGAGGGUGAAAGCGGGGGAUCUUCGGACCUCGCGCCUUUGGAGCGGCCGAUGGCAGAUUCGCUAGUUGGUGGGGUAAAGGCCUACCAAGGCGACGAUCUGUAGCUGGUCUGAGAGGACGACCAGCCACACUGGGACUGAGACACGGCCCAGACUCCUGCGGGAGGCAGCAGUGGGGAAUUUUGGACAAUGGGCGAAAGCCUGAUCCAGCAAUGCCGCGUGUGUGAUGAAGGCCUUCGGGUUGUAAAGCACUUUUGGCGGGAACGAAAAGGACUGUGCCAAUACCACGGUUCGAUGACGGUACCCGCAGAAUAAGCACCGGCUAACUACGUG